UAACUUUGAACUCGAUGUUGCUACCAAAUAGCUACCACAUCUCUCAAAUAAUUAGCUCCAUAUAUAAUUCCUUCAGUGGUAUUUGCCUAGAUAGUUGAAAGUAUUGUCACAUAUUGAAGAGCCAUUGACAUACAUCUUCUUAUCUUGAAGUUCCACAGUAUGCAUUAGGCUUACUCAAUUUCAACUUAGCAGAUGUCAACUUUCUUGUCCUCGAGGCUUCUAUUUAUUCUUGCAAAGUAGCUAUCUGAUCUACGAGGUGUUGUAUUUGAGCCUCUAUUUGGGAUUGCUCUGCCAUAUCUUCUAUAUUAUAAUUUCUCUGCUGGACUUUAUUAUUGUAAUACCUUCUCACC
rnacentral:lncRNA from 1 species